rnacentral:ncRNA from 1 species
CGUGGUCCCCCUGAGGGUUAAAAUGGGAAUGGGGUGCGAGUCCCCUACUGUCCCGCAGCUGUGAGUCGUCCUUCCACACGGAGCAAGCAAUCAAGUCACUGAGAUUAUCGGGAAGACGCUUGCCUUCCAGGCGACGAGUCAGAAGACCUGCCACGCAG